rnacentral:lncRNA from 1 species
AUUGGGAGUAGUGUAUAUAUGCAGAGGUACAGUCUGUUAUCAAGGCUAAAAAAAUGUCAGUAUCUCAUAGGAUCUCAGAGUCCAAGCCAACAGUGACACAUCUUUCUUAAUUCCACAACUACUCCAGAAAGGCCAUCCUUCAUAAACUGGCACUUGCCAUGGGCCAAGUAUAUUCAAACCACCACACCUUUCAAUAUCACUAUAAAGGAUUUACCACAUUGGUUAUAUUCAUACGGUUACUCUUUAGUACAUGUUCUUUUAUGUAGUUGGAGGUGACUUGACUUUGAACAGGAUUUGCCACAUUGUCUAUAUUUAUAAUGUUUCUCUCCAGUAUGAAUUCUUUCAUGAUUUCAAAGUAUAGCAUGAGAAACAAAGGAUUUACUACAUUGCUUACAUUCAUAGGGGUUCUCUCCAGUAUGUAUUCUUUUAAGAAUUCAAAGAUUGAACUACUGGAGCAGGUGACGGAGCCAUCUUGGGCCCCAGGUCCCUCAGAGACCAGUCUGCAAAACUCAGCUGGCAGACUGUGAAGGGUGAGCAAGCAGACUGCAGAAGCAACACAGCUUCUGGAACAGACCCUGUUUCGGGCUCCAGACAUCUGGCACAUUCACCAUCAGAGGAGAGGUGUCCGCCCAGGAGAUCUCUGAAUGCCUGAACAGGUGAGGGAGCCAUCUUAUGGCUCGUGUCCCUCGGAGACCAGUCUGUGCAGGCGAGCGUGCAGACUGCAGAGGCAACACAUCUUCUGGGACAGGCCCUGUUUUGGGCCUUCAUCUUCAGCCAGGAGGCAGGUCUGAACGCUCGACCUCUGUGCACCUUUCCUGCAAGAGAGCUUGCCUGCAGAGAGUACUCUGACCACUGAGAUUCAGGAGAGAGCUGGACUUCCAGGACUGCUGACAGAGGCUAACAGAAUCACAGGAGGAACAAGCUCCAAUCAGAGACAACUAUAACAACUAACUCCAGAGAUUACCAGAUGUCAAAAGGCAAACGUAAGAAUCUUACUAACAGAAACCAAGACUACUCACCAUCAUCAGAACCCAGCACUCCCACUUCAGCCAGUCCUGGAUACCCCAACACACCUGAAAAGCAAGACACGGACUUAAAAUCAUAUCUCAUGAUACUGGCAGAGGACAUCAAGAAGGGCAUUAAUAACUCAUUUAAAGAAAUACAGGAGAACAGUGCUAAAGAGGUAGAAGUCCUUAAAUAGGAAACACAAAAAUUCCUUAAAGAGCUACAGGAAAACACAACCAAAUAGGUGAUGGAAUUGAACAAAACCAUCCAAGACAUAAAAAGGGAAGUAGACACAAUAAAGAAAACCUAAAGUGAGACAACUCUGGAAAUAGAAACCCUAGGAAAGAAAUCAGGAACCAUAGAUGCGAGCAACAGCAAGAGAAUGCAAGAGAUUCAAGGAAGAAUCUCAGGUGCAGAAGAUUUCAUAGAGAACAUGGGCACAACAAUCAAAGAAAAUGCAAAAUACAAAAAGAUCCUAACUCAAAACAUCCAGGAAAUCCAGGACACAAUGAGAAGACCAAACCUACAAUAGGAGUAGAUGAGAAUGAAGAUUUUCAACUUAAAGGGCCAGCAAAUAUCUUCAACAAAAUUAUAGAAGAAAACGUCCCAAACUUAAAGAAAGAGAUGCCCAUGAACAUACAAGAAGCCCAGAGAACUCCAAAUAGACUGAACCAGAAAAGAAAUUCCUUCCAACACAUAAUAAUGGAAACCCACCUCAGGGAAAAGGACAGACACUACCUCAGAGUGAAAGACUGGAAAACAAUUUUCCAAGCAAAUGGUCCAAAGGAACAAGCUGGAGUAGCCAUUCUUAUAUCGAAUAAAAUUGACUUCCAACCCAAAGUUAUCAAAAAAGACAAGGGAGGGGCAGUUCAUACUCAUCAAAGGUAAAAUCCACCAAGAUGAACUCUCAAUUCUGAAUAUCUAUGCUCCAAAUACAAGGGCAGCCACAUUCAUUAAUGAAACUUUAGUAAAGCUCAAAGGACACAUUGCACCUCACACAAUAAUAGUAGGAGACUUCAACAACCCACUCUCACCAAUGGAUAGAUCCUGGAAACAGAAACUAAACAGAGACACAUGGAAACUAACAGAAGUUAUGAAACAAAUGGAUUUAAUUGAUAUCUACAGAACAUUUUAUCCUAAAACAAAAGUAUAUACCUUCUUCUCAGCCCCACAUGGUACCUCCUCCAAAAUUGACCAUAUAAUUGGUCACAAAACAGGCCUCCACAGAUACAAAAAUGAUGAAAUUAUCCCAUGCAUCCUAUCUGACCACCACGAACUAAGGCUGAUCUUCAAUAACAACAUAAACAAUAGAAAGCCAACAUUCAUGUGGAAACUGAAUUUGGUAUUAUCAUGGAAUACGUUCGUUUCUCCAUCUAUGUUGAGUUUGGUUGGGUAUAGUAGCCUGGGCUGGCAUUUGUGUUCUCUUGGGGUCUGCAUAACAUCUGUCCAGAAUCUUCUGGCUUUUAUACAUGAGAAGUCUGGUGUAAUUCUAAUAGUCCUGACUUUAUAUGUUACUUGACCUUUUUCCAUUCCUGCUUUUAAUAUUCUAUCUUUAUUUAGUGCAUUUGUCGUUCUGAUUAUUAUGUGUCAGGAGGAAUUUCUUUUCUGGUCCAGUCUAUAUGGAGUUCUGUAGGCUUCUUCAUGCUUAUGUUCAUGAGCAUCUCUUUCUUUAGGUUUGGGAAGUUUUCUUCUAUAAUUUUGUUGAAGAUAUUUGCUGGCCCUUUAAGUUGAAAAUCUUCAUUCUCAUCUACUCCUAUUAUCCGAAGGUUUGGUUUUCUCAUUGAGUCCUGGAUUUCCUGGAUGUUUGGAGUUAGGAUCUUUUUGCGUUUUGCAUUUUCUUUGUUUGUUGUGCCCAUGUUCUCUAUGAAAUCUUCUGCACCUGAGAUUCUCCCUUGAAUCUCUUGUAUUCUGUUGCUGAUGCUGGCAUCUAUGUUUCCAGAAUUCUUUCCUAGGGUUUCUAUCUCUAGCAUUGUCUCACUUUGGGUUUUCUUUAUUGUAUCUACUUCCCUUUUUAGGUCUUGAAUGGUUUUGUUCAUUUCCAUCAUCUGUUUGGAUGUGUUUUCCUGUUUUUCUUUAAGGACUUGUAACUCUUUAGCAGUGUUCUCCUGUAUUUCUUUAAGUCCUUCUUGAUGUCCUCUAUCAUCAUCAUGAUAUGCUUUUAAAUCCGGGUCUAGCUUUUCGGGUGUGUUGGGGUGCCCAGGACUGGCUGAAGUGGGAGUGCUGGGUUCUGAUGAUGAUGAGUGGUCUUGGUUUCUAUUAGUAAGAUUCUUACGAUUCCCUUUUGCCAUCUGGUAAUCUCUGGAGUUAGUUGUUAUAGUUGUUUCUGGUUGGAGCUUGUUCCUCCUGUGAUUCUGUUAGCCUCUGCCAGCAGACCUGGGAGUCUAGCUCUCUCCUAAGUUUUAGUGGUCAGAGUACUCUCUGCAGGCAAGUUCUCCUCUUGCAGGGAGGGUGCAAAAAUAUCUGGCGUUCAGACCUGCCUCCUGGCUGAAAAUGAAGGCCUGAAACAGGGUCUGUCCCAGAAGCUGUGUCACUUCUGCCAGUCCCAGAAGCUCUGGAGUUUCUGUAUUCCACACUCUAACCUGCGCAGACUAGUCUCUGAGGGAUCUAGGACCCAAGAUGGCUCCCUAGGUGCUCCAGCAGAGCCCUCCCAGGAAGACACCUCUCCUCUGGCGGGGAAGGUGCCCAGAUGUCUGGAGCCUGAAAUGGGGUCUGUCCCAGAAGCUGUGUUGCUUCUGUAGUCCAUACUCUCACCUGUGCAGACUAGUAUCUGAGGGAUCCAGGACCCAACAUGGCCCCCUCCAGGUGCUCCAGCCGUAAGAUUCUAUCUUAAUACAUCACUGUCCUCAUGGGGAAAAAAAGAAGCAGAAAGGAAAAGGAAAUGUAGAGGAAUAUAGACGAGGAAAAAUGGAAGGAGAGAAGAGAAGGAAGAAGAGACUACUUAAAACAUGUUAUUUCUGUUAUCAAACAUGCAGAGAACUUUCUGCUUGUGAGUUUCUCUCCAGUGUGGUAUCUUUUAUGCUGUUUGUCUUAACUUGGGUUUUAUUGCUGUGAAAAGAUACUAUGACCAAGGCAACUCUUAUAAAAGACAUUUAAUUAGGGGUAGUGUACAGAUUCAGAGGUUCAGUCUGAUAUCAUCAAGGCUGAAAAAAAUGGCAGUGCCCAAGCAGACAUGGGGCUGGAGGAGACAAGAGUUCUACAUCUUGAACAGAAGGCAACCAGAAGACUCUGCUGCCCUGGGUGGAGCUUAAGCAUAGAAUCUCAAAGUCCACCCCCACCAUGACAUACUUUCUCAAAUGCCACAUCUACUCCAGAAAUGCCAUACUUCCUAAUACAGCCACUUGCCAUAGACCAAGUAUAUUCACACCUUUCAAGACCACUGUAAAGGCUUUUACCACAUUGGUUAUAUUCAUAGGGUUACUCUUUAGUGUUCUUUUAUGUAGUUGGAGGUGAUGAUUGUGAAUAGGCUUUACCAUAUUAUCUACAUGUGUAAGGUUUCUCUCCAGUAUGAAAUUCUUUCAUGUUUUCAAACUUGAUCAUGAGAGGCAAAGGAUUUACUACAUUGCUUACAUCAAUAGGGUUUCUGUCCAGUGUGUAUUCUUUUAUGCUCUCGAAGAUUAUGAUGGUGUGUAAAGGCUUUACCACAUUCAUUACAUUUGUAAGGUUUCUCUCCAGUAUGAAUUCUUUCAUGACUUUGAAGUUGACCACAAGAGGCAAAGGAUUUACUACAUUGCUUACAUCAAUAGGGUUUCUCUCCAGUAUGUGUUCUUUUAUGUACACGGAGAGUACUAUGAUAUGCAAAUGCUUUACCACAUUGAUCACAUUUGCAAGGUUUCUCUCCAGUAUGAACUCUCUCAUGUCUUUUAAGAUCAUUCUGAGCUACAAAGGCUUUACCACAGUGAUCACAUUUAUAAGGUUUUUCUCCAUUGUGUAUUCUUUUAUGAACUUGGAGAAUACAACUACGUGCAAAUGCUUUACCACAUUGAUUACAUUUGUAAGGUUUCUCUCCAGUAUGUGUUCUUUUAUGUACUUGGAGACUUCUAUGAUAUGCAAAGGCUUUGCUACAUUGAUUACAUUUGUAAGGGUUUCUCUCCAGUAUGACUUCUUUCAUGAAUGUGAAGUUGACCACAAGAGGCAAAGGAUUUACCACAGUGAUUACAUUUGUAAGGUUUCUCCUCCAGUAUGUAUCGUUUUCGUGAAUUUGAAGUUGACCAUGAGAGGCAAAGGAUUUACUACAUUGCUUACAUUCAUAGGGUUUCUUUCCAGUAUGUGUUCUUUUAUGUACUUGGAGAGUACUAUGAUAUGCCAAGGCUUUACCACAUUGAUCACAUUUGUAAGGUUUCUCUCCAGUAUGACUUCUUUCAUGACUUUGAAGUUGACCACAAGAGGCAAAGGAUUUACCACAGUGAUUACAUUUGUAAGGUUUCUCUCCAGUAUGUAUUCUUUUAUGUACUUUGAGAUAACUAUGAUAUGCAAAUGUUUUACCACAUUGAAUACAUCUGAAUGGUUUCUCUCCAGUAUGAAUUCUUUCAUGACUUUGAAGUUGACCAUGAGAGGCAAAAAGUUUACUACAUUGCUUACAUUCAUAAGGUUUCCUUCCAGGAUGAAUCCUUUCAUGUUUUUUAAGUAGCUCAUGAGAGGAAAAGGAUUCACUACAUUGCUUACAUUCAUAGGGCUUCUCUCUAGUAUGUGUUCUUUUAUGUACACGGAGAGUACUACGAUAUGCAAAUGCUUUACCACAUUGGUUACAUUUAUAAGGUUUCUCUCCAGUAUGACUUCUUUCAUGAAUUUGAAGUUGAUCAUGAGAGGCAAAGGAUUUACUACAUUGCUUACAUUCAUAGGGUUUCAUUCCAGUAUGUGAUCUUUUAUGUACUUGGAGAGUACUAUGAUAUGCCAAGGCUUUACCACAUUGAUCACAUUUAUAAGGUUUCUCUCCAGUAUGAACUCUCUCAUGUCUUUUAGGAUCAUUCUGAGCUACAAAGGCUUUACCACACUGAUCACAUUCAUAGGGUUUCUCUCCAGUAUGUGUUCUUCUAUGUACUUGGAGAGUAUUAUGAAAUACAAAGGCUUUACCACAUUGAUUACAUUUAUAGGGUUUCUCUCCAGUAUGUGUUCUUUUAUGAAUUUGCAGAGUACUGUGUUGUGCAAAGGCUUUACCAUAUUGAUUGCAUUUGUAGGGUUUCUCUCCAGUAUGUAUUAUUUGGAGACUAUUUUGAUGUACAAAGGCUUCACCAGACUGAAUGCCUUCAUAGGGUUUUUCUCCAGUAUAAAUUCUUUCAUGCCUUUGAGGAUAACUAUGACUUGCAAAGUCUUUACCACACUGAAUAUUUUCAGAGCGUUUCUCUCCAAUAAGUCUUCUUUCAUGCCUGCAAAGAUAAUUGGCACAUGUGAAAG